rnacentral:sRNA from 1 species
GUUGAAUUUGAUGAAGCUGGCCCGCCAUAGGGGCGGGCCAAUGAGAAACGGCCGA